rnacentral:tRNA from 1 species
GUCACCAUAGCUCAGCUGGUUAGAGCGCAGGACUCAUAAGCCUGAGGUCGGUGGUUCAAAUCCACCUGGUGACACCA